rnacentral:piRNA from 1 species
AGCAGACCUCGGCCGGAUGACCUGGAGA